rnacentral:rRNA from 1 species
AUAAAAAACCAACGCCCUUCGGGGCUCCUUGGUGAAUCAUAAUAACUUAACGAAUCGCACGGCCUUGCGCCGGCGAUGGUUCAUUCAAAUUUCUGCCCUAUCAACUUUCGAUGGUAGGAUAGUGGCCUACCAUGGUGG